rnacentral:lncRNA from 1 species
GCCUGGACCAUAAUUAGUGCUCAAUAAAUAUCAAUAAUUACCAGUACAAGAACUGGCUUUAUGCACAUUUGUUGAAGAAGAAAGGAAAAUGUUGGGAGAAAAAUAGAAAUCUCUGUGAAUUAUUUGUGAAUUUGGGAAAUUCAGAAUAUUCAUUUUUCUGUAUUUCCAUUCAAGCCUUGUGAUUUUUGUCUACUACAUUUUUCUUUCCUUUUACAGAAACAGAUGUUGUUUUUGGUGAUGUAAGUUACCAGGGUUGGGGGUCUGAUCUGGAGGAACUGGGAGGCACACAGAUACACUCCAGGAUGGAAUGCAGGCAGAAAUCAUGACCUCCAUCCACCUUUAACUUUCCAAGGCCUGGCCCAUAAACCCUCCCUGUCAGGCUUCCUGGUACCUCUUCCCUGGCUGCUAGCUGGAUGCUGAGGCCCUGGGGUGCUGAGCCACUGGUGGAGUGAAGCCUGGGCCUGAAAGGCUGGGUGAAACAGAAGUCAUGGGAUGGGCAGAAGAUGCUGAUCUAGGCUGAUACCUGGCAAACCCUACCUUGUCCUGCCCCUGACACUGCAGAUCUGAGGACGCGCUGGGGGAGCCGAGCAUCCAGGUGUGCAUUUUCCCAUCUUUGCCUCCUUUGCUGUGCCCCAUCCAUGGAUUCUUCCAUUAGUGACCCUGGGAUUUUAAGGCUUGUAGCCUGAGCACUCACAGGGAGGUGUGGGGACUGAGUAAUCCUCUCAAUUGAGCCUGUUAAUAAAUUUGUCACCACACUAGACGAGGGGAAAUGAUUUUAAAUUGAUUCGUGCAGAAUUUUGAUGUGUUCUGCACAUCCAACUUUGCUUUUGGUGCUCUGGUUAAGCAUUGGUGAGUCACCGGUUCAGCCUGAUUAUUCUUGCUGCUGUAAAAGUAGAAAUCAAUAUUAAUAUUUCCUCACUGUUAACCAUCUCUCUAGAACAAAUAUUUUUUCCCCUCCUUCUCCUUCUAUGACUUUGUUAUCUUUGCAUUUCUAAUUGUGUCUGAAAUUUAUGGAGUGUCUUUUUUUUUUUUUGGUAAAGAACUACAGUUUGUGAUGAUGCUGCUUUUCCCAUCACAUCUGGGAUCAGCGUUUGUAAUAGAUUCUCUUUUACGUUCAGCUCCUGAAGAGCACUCUCAUGAUCUGAUAAGAGAAGAUGAUCUUUGCUGGCCCUUUGAGGUAAUGAAUCCUUUUCAUUUGUUUUCUUGCAUACUUUCUAGGUCAGUGAGUGGAGGGAAUUUUUGUCCAACGUGCACCUUGACAGAGCUUCACUGACCACGGGCGGUGUCUCCCUGCUGCCACGCAGCACACCUCUGACCACAGACCUCUCUCCAGAGCCACGUGUUUGCUUCUCACCUGACAGGCUCUGUGAGAGCCCAUCUGUGCUUCCCUGGGAUGUCUGACCGCACGCAUCCCCCACUGUGCAUGGGAGCCCUGCUGGGCCCGUAGGUGGAAUUAUUUCUCAGUUUUAAUCUGAGUACAUAAUUGAGGCUUGUGCCAGCAAGGACUCCCAUCGCUUUCUUUCCUCACACUCCACACGUAGUGCUGCUCAGUGAUUUUACUGUUCCUCUAGGAAUGGCUCCCACCUGCUUAGAGUAUAAGAUUUAUCUCCUUAGCACACCAUGGGAAGUCUCCUAAAAUCCAUCCACUGCUUAUCUCUUUGGCCUCAGCUCUUGGCCCCCUGUGAUGAAACCCUGAUCUCUAGUCAUGCAGAGGUGCUUGCAACUUUCUGAAAGCUCCUUUCAAAGGUGCCUUUGCCUUCUGUUCCCUAUCCCUUCAGGGUCCUUCCCGGCUAGCCACUGCUCCUGGCUAAGUUCUGAGAGGUUGCAUCCACCUCGCGGGAGUGUUGGCCAUUUUCUCCCUUCGAGGUCCUUAUUGUUGGCCUUUCUCUCUUUCCCUACUAGACUCUAAGCUCCCUUAGAGUGGGGCCUCUGUCUCACCCAUCUCUCUGUGGCCCCCAUCUAGUGUGCGGUCAAGGCUUGCUGAGAGCUGCCUUUUCAUGUGUAUUAUGACAAUUCAGCCCAAUGACAAGUGGCUCACUCCAUCUCCAACACGCUCCUGUCAACCUUCCUUUUCCCUGGGUCUCUUCAGUUUAACCUUUUGUGGGCAUACCAUCAUGCAUUAGUUGGAAUCAGAUUGAUACUGGAGGUGUUUUUGUUUUCCAGAAAUGUCUGGGGAAAGUGUGCCUGUGUACUUUUCAUGUAUGUCCGUCGGAGGAAAAGUUUUCAUCAUUCAUUUAUUCUUGUAUCGAUUGCACAAAAUUGCUUAAGAUUCUCCUCUGUGUGUGGUUCCAUGGGAGCUUGGACCACUUUACAUGAUGAAUAGGACAGAGUAGAGUCCCUUUUGGGAAACAGGCAUCUGUAAAAUGCUAUGGGUACAUAAAGAGCCACCUAAUGGAAAUGGGUCACAGCUGGCACUCCAAAGGAGGCAAUGUCUGAGCUGAAUUGGAAGGAAAAGCAGGCAUUUGCCAAUGAGAACUUGGAGGGUUCUCCAGGAGCAGGGCGUGCAGAGAGCCCAUUGAGUGGAGGCGUGUAGGGAGCCAUGGGGACUUUGGUUUAUCUUAAGAACAAUAUGUGUUUGUGUGUACAAGGGAGGGGGCAGAAUAAGGAAUGGCAGAUAAAGCUGAAGAAGUGAGUAGAGGCCAGAUCACAGGGUCCUGACUGUGUCCUGGAUAAACACGGGGAUGCUGGAGGUUUAAUCAGGGUCAUGGCGUGGUAAUAUUUCCAAGUAGAAAGAUCACUUUGGUGGUGAAUUGCAAGGACUGGCCGAUUCCCCUGGUGGUAGGAAAAGAGGUGACCAGGCUGGUUUCCAGCGGAUCUGGGCUGGGGCUGAGCGUCUGGUUAGUGGUUAGGAAUAAGCUGAGGGAUAAUCUCAAGUCAGGCUCUGCUGUGGGGCAUGUGUUCCCUGCCGAGUGUGUGAGAUGUGAGUGCCUGUUCUGCUGGCUGUGCUUCCUUCCCCUGUCUCGGGGUGCCGGGGACUGAGCCCUGUGACUCCAAUUGACGGCUUCAUUUCACAAAUUAAACAUAUCAUGCUAGUGAACCGUUUCAGAGCCACAGCAUUACAGAAUAAGAAAACCACUGCAGCCCUAAGUCUACAAUGCUCAUGAAGCAAACAAUUCUCUGAAACAUUGACCCAGCACCUCAGAGCUCCCCAUAACAGGUCUACCUCUUUGGAAAGGUCAGACUUUUUAAAGGUUAAUUGUUACCCUUAAGAAAAAUGCAAAACAAACGGUAUGGCUGCAUAUUUAAUAGGUGUUUGGAACAGCAUUUCCCAGAAGCACAAUUCCUGAUGAUUUGAUUUUUAAAAAGAAUGGUCUAGAAAUAAAGUGCCCUUGGCAACUUCUGACUUGAAGAAAGUGAGUAUGCCACCUGUGGUUUAAGGAGUAUUAUUAUUAUACGUCUGAAAUGUCCUCUCCCUCCUCCCCUUUCCCCAAAGAAAACAAACCCAGCCAGACAGUAAUUUGACCAUUGCUAUGUCCUGGGUCUUUGCACAGUGGUGGCUGAACAGCUGAGCAUAGAGCGUCCAGGAGAUCUCAUCCUUGUCUGCCUUCUCUUGCCUACUCUUUCUCCCUCAGCUUUCUCCUCUGCUCCCAGCAUUGACCAGGCACUUGUCUGAAGCCAAGCUCUCCAUCAGACUCCCCAACACCUCCCACAUAGCUUACCGAAGAGCUCUCCCUGGACACCUUGCUGGGCGCCUCAGUGCAAUUUGUCCAAACCAAUUUAGCGCCUCUCUUUUCCAUGGCUCUGGUUCUGCCCUUAACUUCUUCCCUCUGCUGAGCUCUCCUCUCCUCCCUGCACUCAUCUUGCCCCCAGCUUGGAUUCUCCAGUUGUUUUCUCACGACUCAUUGUUCUUCUAGCAUGCUGUCCACCCUGGUGCUGGGUCCUACUGAGCUUUUUUCUCCCAAUCUGUCUCAGGACUGUCUCUUUUCAUUGUGGUGGCCACCACUCUAGACGGAACCUCUCUCCUGGAUCACUGCAAUAACUUCCCAAUUGCCUCUAUUACAGAUCAUCCAUUUUGCCCACUGACACAAGACAUUUUCUGGGAGAUCCAUUAUGAUUCUGCAAAUUCCUUGAUCAAAAUUUUUACUGUUUUCUUACUGUCUAUGGUAUGAAUCUCAGAAUUUCAGGGUUCACUGCCUUUCUACCUUAAUCCUUUACUACCUUUUCUUUUCAGUAACCUUCAUCACCCCCAAGUGGAUGGUCUCCAUUUUCCAAGCUGGCAGCUCACCCCCUCUCUCUGUGCCUCUGCUGCUGCGGUCCACACACCUGGAAUGCCCUCUGCACCCUGCACACGGCAUCCCCCCUCCUUCAAGCAUCGGUCAGAGGCCCCAUCCUCCUACCAGCUCCCUGAUCGCUCCAGUCUGGUGCAUUCAUUGUGUAUCAUUUCUCGCAGGCCCCUGGGUACAAUAGCUGUUUGUAUCCAUUGGUUAUUAAUCUGGGGGGAAUGGCGGCAAAUUUAUCUUAUAGUCCCACAGGUAAACUUUCUGAACCUCUGGUUUUGUCUGUAGAAUUGGUAUAGCCAUUCCUUCAAAAUAGGUGUUUGAAGAAUAUUCAAUAUUAAAACUAACUAUUUAUAAGUAUGUAAAGCUCCUAACAGAGUAUCUGACACAUAGUAGUAAACACACAAUUAUUGUCUAUAGCAGGUGCAGCCAUUUUCAAACGAAGGAAAAGAGGAAGGAAAGAAGGAAGGCAGA